UGGGAGAGGUAUAGCUAAACUAGAGUGUGCGCCACUACCCAAGAUGAUCAAGAGCUUGCCCAGGAGCAAAUACAUGUUGCUCGAGAGAAAAAGCAUGACUUUAAUAGCACCCUUGUUGAGACAUGAAGAAUAUUGAAGAGACCAAGUGUGAAGCUGAGAAAACUACAACUAAGCUAAAAGAAGAGGUGACUCACCUCUAAGAAGCUCUCUAGAUUGUGGAAGUCGCCUUUGCUACUAGAAGUGAAUUAACUGAAGCUGAAAAUCAUGCAACAUGAGCUAAGGAGGAGCUUUCUAGGGUGGUAAAAAGAGUUACUCGGAUUGAGGAGAGAGCCAGAUAGGUAGAGGACAAAUUCACUAUAGCCAAAAGAAAUUGCUUGUGUGGAGGCAAGGGCUAUUGAAGUUGUAAAGGAUGUUGAUCUGGCUAAGAACAAAGUUGCUAAGGUCGAAGAGAGGU
rnacentral:lncRNA from 1 species